CUAAUAGGUUAUUGACUAUUGCAUAUGAGACAGGAUGACAUCAUUGUCAGCCAAUGGGGGUGCAGGAAGGGUGGAAGAUGAGAACGGUGUUUUUAAUUUGUUUAUUGCUGAGCUCAGCUUCUCUCACGCAGGAAAGAGAGGAAAAAUGGAACGACGAAGAAUGACGGAAUGAACAAGAAGUCAAAAAAGAGAGGUUGUCGAGUUCAAUUAGAUUGAUGGGGGAGGUGGCAACUCACCCUGUCUCUCCAGAGCCUCUGUCAGCCUGAGGACCACCGCUGGGGUUUGGUCCGACAGAGCACACUGCUCCACAACAUCUCCCUUUCCAAAGGAGCCUGUCAGAGAGAGAGAGAGAGAGAGAGAGAGAGAGAUGAGAAAUCCCACUGAGCACCAUGUCACCGUCACCCUGCCUGUAUGUGUAAUGUACGCAACAGCACCCUUCACAUGACACCCUGCCUCUGCUCUCCUGGGGUGCUGACCGUGUCACACAUCGCACAAAUGUGAGAAGCUGGUGGCAAGCUGGAUAUGCCACAAGAGGGGUUCAUUUGGUGGCCAAUCUAAUUCUUGUGGGUAAGCCAAUAGGGCCUUGUUCACAAGGUCACUGGACAUUUGGACAUCUAUGAGGACAGACAUAUACAUGUACACAAUUGAAAACAUUAUAUCAGUGCUCACUUGGUGCCCUGGGAAAAAACGCUAUUAUAGUCUAAUCUAGUCUAGUCUAGUCCAUUCUUGUAUGACUUUCUUCUGCAGAACACAAAUGAAGAUAUUUUGAAGAAUAUUGGUAGCCAAACAAUGCUGGCCCCCAUUGACUUCCACUGUAUGAACAAAACCAAUGAGACAUUUCUCAAAAUAUGAGCGUAAAUAAAAUAAAUAAAGAGGGGAAUUUAACUGCCUGAGCAAAUUUUGUGAAUGUUAAUAUAAUUUUUGAAUAUCCCAGAAUAAUCAUCUAAUUAUCUAAAAAUAAAUGUUUUUUUAAGGUUUAAUUCAAAAUCCAUUUAGCUCUCCAUCUGAGGAAGGACGUGCAUCCUCAGAUGAAUCGGCGUGACGCUUCGGAUAUGUGAUUUGUAAAGCCACAGAGUGACAUUUGGACAGAUAACCAAUCCAUUUGCAUCAGAUUUCCAUUUGCGUAAUUGCGAGCGCACCGAUGAGAAAUUCUUAUGCAAGCGUUUUGACUAUUAUGAGAGGAAUGAGGUGCAUGAAACUGUGGCGCUCUUUUAGUGUUCUUUACAGGCUCUUUUGAAUUAGCGUCAGUGACAACACUCAUUAGCACUGAUGUUUACCACCCGCUAAUGUCUACACACAUCCUAGUGCUAUAUCGCUCUCUUUCUUCGUGUAAUUAGAAAAUGGCUGUUUAUUUAACAGAACCUCACAAACAAGCGUUUGUUGACAGCUGGAAAACCUUGCGUUUUGGACACGUGUGUAAUUGGUGUUUUAAUCUGCACAGCAGAGGCCUCUGUUGCACCCCGCUGAAAUUUUCACACAGGAGAAUAGUUCAAAUGCUUAAAGCGACAGUUCACCCAAAAGUGAAAAUUCUGUCAUCAUUUAUUCAGCCACAUGUCAUUCCAAACCGGUAUGACUUUCAUCUUCUGCAGAACGCAAAAGAAGAUAUUUUGAAGAAAGUUGGUAACCAAACAACAUUGAGCCCCAUUGACUUCCAUUGUACGGACACAAAACCACAGAGUCAUUUUUCAAAAUAUCUUCUUUUGUGUUCCACAGAAGAAAGAGUCACAUACAGGUUUUGAAUCACAUAAGGGUGAAUAAAUGAUGACAGAAUUUUUAUUUUUAACUGUCCCCUUAAGCACCAUGAGUAAGGUUUAAUUCAAGUGUUCACGAUGUGGUAGUUUAAAUCUAAAUCAACAUAUCAGCGGCUGCUGUUGCUAUACUAUAGGGGUAGUUCACCCAAAAAUAAAAAUUCGGUCAUCUAUUUACUCACCUUCAAGUUGUUCCAAAUCUGUUUACAUUUCUUUGUUCUGAUGAACACACAAGAUAGAUAUUUGGAAGAAUGCUUAUAACCAAACCGUUCUUGGACCCCAUUGACUACCAUAGUAGGAAAAUUUACUUCUUAUUUUUUGUUCUGUUGAACACAAAGGAAGAUAUUUUAAAGAAUGUAGGACAGCAAACAGUUCUGGGGCACUUUUGAUUACCUUUGUCAUUUUUCCUAUAGGUAGUCAAUGGGGUCCAAGAACUGUUUGGGUACAAGCAUUCGACCAAAUAUCUUUCUCUGUAUUCAACCAAACAAAGAAAUGUAUUCAGAUUUGGAACAACUAAAGAGCGAGUCAUUCAUGAAAGAAUUUUCAUUUUUGGGUGAACUAACCCGGGAUUGAUGGUGUCUAAAAGAAAACUAUAAGGGAGUGCCCUAUAAAGUUGCUGGAAUACUUUAGUAUGAAUAUAGUUGAUGCUUCAAGAACGAGAAAAAAAGCAGGUGAUAGCAACAAAAAAGAUUAAUGAAAAGUACCUCUGAGGCUUUGAUGCAGGUGGCACAAAGACCUUGGGGGUUUGGGAUUACACACGUUAACGGCGAAGCGCAUUGGCAUUCUGAUAACACACGGCACAUUUAAUUGCUCAACAUCCUGCUGGUUUCUCUAUGGCCCUCGACAAGCAACACCCUAUGAAUGAACAAACAGGUCAGAGUACGGUGGGAGGAAUCAUAAUUCUCUUUCUCCGAUUUCCUCUUUCCCUCCCUAGUUCCUUUUGUUUAGGAAGCAUCAUGCCGCUUAAUCGUUAGUGCGUUGCUGCUGUAUGAUUUAUAAGACGAGAGAUUAAUGCAGAGCUGUGCUCAAAAUGUCAAGUGUAAUCUAAUGAAAGUGAAAAUUCCAGAGCGGCAUUUUGAUGAUUUGUUUCAUUCGAAUGCUUAAUUGGCGAAUUGCAGUUGUAAAAAAUUAGACAGAUUAUUAUGUCAAUGAAUUUCUACAUGAUUUCAUCACAAAAAGCGAUCUGAUUUGUAAUUGAAUCCAGUAAAUCACAAGAACAGACUGAUUAAAUGACUGACAAACAAUGAAAUGUCUCUAAACAUUCGUUGUGCAGGAUGAAAAUACUAUGUGAAACUCCAGACUAAUGACUCUUAAAGCUAACUGGACUCAGAAGUCAGUUUAGGGUUGCUUUACAGCAACUGCCCACACUGUCCAAACCAUAAAACAAGAUUAGAAGUGUUGGUUUAAACUGCCCUGACUUAUAAAUAACACUGACUUUUCUAUCCACAAGAAGCAUUGCCUUGAGUGGAAACAUGUUUGACCAAGAGAGAUGGACUAGACUAGACACUUCACCCAAAAAAGAAAACGUUCUUGUUGUAACUGUAUACAUUUCUUUGCUCAGUUGAACACAAAACAAUAUAUUUGUAAACAUGUGGAAAAACAAACAGUUCUGGAACAUGACCUGCUGCUAAUGCUAAUGCUAAUGCAAACAAACAGUUCUGGAACAUGACCUGCUGCUAAUGCUAAUGCUAAUGCAAACAAACAGUUCUGGAACAUGACCUGCUGCUAAUGCUGAUUAUUUUUUAACCGUUAUUGUUUUUCGUGAUAAUGUGAACGUCUCUACUACAGUAGUCAACAGUGCCCCUGAACUGUUUACAAACAUUCUUCCAAACAUCGUUAAGAAACAUAAAAAGCUCACAGAAGUAUUUAUAAAAGCCUUGAUGUAAGCAGACAUUUCUCUCUGCAACUCAUUUAUUUAGAGGUCUAAGGUCAAUUUACUGUACAAACAAUUUAAGAAAGUUAAGUUUUUAAAGGGAUAGUUCACCCAAAAAUGAAAAUUCGUUCAUCAUUUACUCACCCUCUUGUAAUUUCAAACCUGUAUAACUUACUGUCUUGUGCAGAACACAAAAGAAGAUAUUUUGCUAAAUACUGGUAACCAAAUAACGUUGGUCCCCUUUGAAUUCUAUUGUAUGGACACAAACCAAUGCAAGUCAAUGGGGACCAACGGGUGGUAUAUUCUUCAAAAUAUCUACUUUUGUGUUUUGCAGAAGAAAGAAAGUGAUACAGGCUGAGUAUAUGACAACAGAAUUUUAAUUUUGGGGUGAAAUAUCCCUUUAAAAUCACUUUGUAGCCUACAGCACCCUUGAAGCCCAAAGUACAUUGUGGAUUGUACAUAUACUGUACGCCGGCGGUUUAUGUAACUGCACAUACUACAGUAUGUAUACAAAUUGAUAUGAUUGCAGUAAUUAGUGGUUGCACAAGACAGCAAGCGUGCUCUGCAUUGACUGCCUGUGUUGUGUGCGUGUUUACUUAAACAACUAUACGAACACGAUAAUGUAAACAUACAAAUCUAAAUACUGUAUGAAGAUGAAUCAGACAUUCAAGUUGGUUUUUGUUAUUGUGUAUGCUUUUGAAAUUUCAGUACAUUAUCCUCGAUCCGUGGCAGCGUGAACUCAUGUUUACAUUUCCACGAAUGUUAAAGGGCUCAUACGUUUAUACGCCUGUGUGCAUGUGGUCACAGUUUGUUUGGCUCUGUGCAAGAGGUGAAGGACAAAUUUCUUUUCAAUUGAAGUGAUACUAUGCGAGUGGUGCUUCGAUUAACAUCACUGUCAGAAAACAUCACGAAAGCAAUUUCUCAAAACGUGAGGCACCUGCAGAUGGAUAAGGCACCCCAAGCAAAGAACGGAGGAACAACAGGGAUGGAACAAGUUGACAUGAGAAGGGUAACAGAGAAGAACAAAUACAAUGAUGUUCUUCUAUAUACAAACAUGUACAGUAUACGUUUUGAGUUUGAAUACAGACAGACUUCUGUCAGAAAAUGCUGUCAUCAUUUACUCACCCUCUUGUCAUUUCAACCUGUAUGACUUUCUUUCUUCUGCAGAACACAAAAGAUGAUAUUUUGGAGAAUGAACAAUGGCAGUACCCAUUGAUUUGCAUUGGUUUUGUGUCCAUACAACAGAAGUGAAUGGGUACCGCCGUUGUUCGGUUAUGAACAUUGUUCAAACUAUCUUCUUUUGAGUUCUGUAGAAGAAAGAAAGUCAUACAGUUUUGAAAUGACAAGAGGGUGAGUUAAAUGAUGAAAGAUUUUACAUUUUAGUGUGAACUAUCCCUUUAAAUGGGUUUAUCUGUUAGUUGUCUGAGUAAAUUAAUCUGGAUUGUUAUUAACGUACAGCUAUAGUCAAAUUUAGAUAAAAAGUUUAUACACUGUCCUUACCAACUAAUUUACCAACUCUAAAAUCAAGCAAUAAAAGCUACAGCAAAAUUUUAUAAACGGCUUGUUUUCUAUUCUUGCAGAAUCGCUCUGAGUAGCCCCGCCCACAAGAAAUAUCAUUGGCCCAAAGUUCAGCUCCACACAAUGUGACGCCAGCUUUUAUGGAGUAACGUGUAACAUUAUGUGCAUUAUAUCUGCGUUUAGUGACAGACGAAUUGCUUGUUGCCAGAAGCUUGUCCAGUGUGAUUUUAUGUCAGUAUUCUCCCUCAGGGUUUACCAUUUUAAAAAUAGGGUAAUUACCUUCCAGGUAGAUGAAUACAAUCAGAAGAUCUGCAAUUUGCGACGAAUUACGGCGCUAUUGCCAAAAGACCUCUAGGGCAAAUACACAUCACUUCCAUUGUCUAUUGUGGAUCCAAUUAUGAGUGUAAAGUGCGAGACUAUGUUAAACUGUGGGGGUGUUACUGUCAUUGCACAAAGCCCCGUGUGCAACCCCAACUGCUCACAAGCCUAUCAGAUCUUAUCCGUUUUCUAUUAAGCAGACAGAAAGCUAUUUCCAGGAUUUUCACUAUCCCUUAUGUGUGUUUUAACUAGCUGUGGUCAGGAUGACAGAGAACUGCUGAAUGGAUCAGCAAUUCUGCACAAAGCCAUUAAGUGUCCAUAGUCAGGGGCAGCCAAAUGAAAAAGUGUAGACACACAAACUUAAGGACGCAUACACAAACCUGAAAAAAAAUCUCACUCAAUUUCCUAGAAAUGUAAAUAAAUCAUAAAGGCUGCGCACGCAAAGUGCUCAGUUCGUUCUCACUUUAAUUUAUUCAUAUUCUGCACACAUGAUCAAAACAAUUGUCCUUUGUUGGGUCAUUUUCUUUAGAGGUGCCACACAAUGACCUGUUUUCAUUAUAUGAUGUCCACUGCACAUGCCGCAAUGUAUCACUGUCACCACUAGGAGGUGCCGCGCCAGCCACUGUGUCUCACAGUGAUGCAGAUAUAACUGAGCCUUUGUGUGCUGUAUGGACUCGUGUGGGAUAGAGAGAUUUACACGCUCGAAAGGACAAAAGAAUGCUGCAAGCCACCGGUGGCAUCUUACAUAAUAGACAGAAUAUUCAAACUGCAAGUAUUUAAAUAUUUACACUUUAAAAACUAAACACAUUUACAUGUAUUCGUAAUUGACACGCUUUUACGCAAAGAAUGUACACCAAGGAUGCACUGCAGUUUGGUUUAGAUAAGCAUGUUUGUGCACAUUUGUGUAUGCAUUUGACAUGAGGUCAAUUCUCUGUACUGUAUAGACCGUUUCAUCGGACUCGGCGAGCGCCGGAGCACAAGUUAACUUCCGGUUUGUGUUUGGCUAGUGUCUAAUAAUAUAACAAUUUAUAUUUUAUCUAAUUUAUGUUAAUAUUAAUUUAUGUUAUUAUUUUAUUGUAUAAUAACUGUAUUAAAUAAACAAUUUGUUAAAUUUUGUUGUAUGUUCAUUUUAUUAAAGAAAUAAUUUGUUGAAAGGGUCCUGCAGUUUGGUCGCAUUUAAUCAAACCGUAUGGUAAAUUGACAUCUAGCGGUUGAGCUUGGUAUCGGAGUCUAAAUUCAAAAUACUAGCCAAGUAAAGGGUGAUUCACAUUCGCGUCUAAAACCGCGCGGAAAACGCGAGCAGCGCCACUUUCUCUAGUCACAUGACCCCCGGUGCACCCUCGGCAUUCUGAAGAGUUGAACUAUUUCCAUCUCUAUUUCGAAAAAUGUGCGCGCCGCACCGUAUGCGCGUUGCGACUGCGUCUUUCCCUAUUUGCGCGUGCUGCCGCGUGUCUACAUUUAAAAUAACGAACUUGUGUGUGCAAAAGACACGACAUUUGAAUCGCCCCUAACAGUUCUUCUCGGUUUAUUUUGAUUGUUAACAGAAAUAAUCUACAGGCACUCUAUUGUUUGCGAAUGUGUACCGGAAGUUAAGUUGGGGUCACAAAAAUGUGCAUGCGCAGUAACGUUUGUUCAUGUUGUUAAGAUGAAACCUUCUAUAAACGAAAACUGUCAAAAUGUGCAUUAUUUCUUUAUGUCAUUCAAACCUCAGAUGGCUUGCUUGGGAAAUCUUUUGGGUUUUUAUCUACAAUUAGAGUUGUGACCGACUCUUUUCAAAAAGGACGAAAAAGUGUAAUACAAAAGCCUAACAAAGUGUAAUAUUGUGUAGUAUAGUUCAGGUUUCCUUACAGCAUACUGUACAAAUGUUUAGUAAAAAACUAACUAAAAUGUAAUCUAUAAUUUGAUGUAAGUCCUGACUUGGACCUCUUCUCUUUGUACCAGAGCGUACACAAACAACACUGUUCACUUCUCCACUCUCUUGUUGUGGAUAUCGCUGUUCCGGUUGUUAUAUUUAAUGACAAAAUUACUAAAACUGUGUAAACAAUGCAGCUCAAGCAGUUUCAUCAGACGCACGCGCCUGGUUCAAAGUUAGCUUCCGGUCUGUGUCUGGUUAUAACAUAAUUUAUUUUAUAUUAAAUUUACAUUCAUAUUCAUUUAUAUUGAUAUUUUAUUGUAUAUUUAUUUUCUUACAAUAAAUUAAAUUAAAACAACUCAACAGUUAUUGAUUCUUUGCGGACGUUUACCAGAAGUUGUGUUUGGGCCAAAUAAUGUUUGUUUAUGUUCUUUUAUAAUGCAGCUGGGUUAUAAGUAGAGUUUUGUUUACAUUGAACCCAGCGCACACUAUAACUUCAAACAAAAGCAGACAGUGUCUUCCUUGAAUAGAUCUAGAAUUGUGGUCUUACAGAAGGUCUGCAGCGACAGCCACCCUGCCAAACUGAUAAAGGAUUGAGUCUCCUCCUGUAAACCUUUCCAAUGUUUUGGAAGGAUUUAACUCCAUUUCUUAUUUCUCUUUCGCCUGCCCGCCCCUUACAGCUAUAGCAAUCUUCUCUAUUACAGUAUGAAAUUGAAACUCCAACCUGUUUUCUCACCUGCUUUGCCGCACUGUGUCAAUAAGAGCUGUUUAGCCUCUGACCCUGCCAGUGGCUAGAGUGAUGAAAGAAGCGGAUAGACCGGAGACCGCCGUCAUAGCACACAAAUGUAUUCACACAAAUAACCACCUAAACAAGUGUGAACACUAAUUAAAAUGUUGCAGAAUGUGACUAUUACGUUUAACCCUGUGCAGCGGACACACACAAAACCCACAGGCACACCGCACAGCUUUUUAAUUUCUGCAAUCCACAUCUUUAUCAAUCACAAGUGAUAGCAGGUGCCACCCCCUGCAACAUGGGAGAGAUUACUGCAGCUUGUUUCCAAACUGCCUCACAUUUCAUGGGACCGCUAUAGAUAUUUACACACACAUAUUUACCCGCCGAGCGUGCGUUUGGAAUACUUUAUUAAGAUAAUGGUCAAAAUAUGUCAGUGAAAAUAAUUGAAUUUAGAUGCACUAUCCAAAGCAGUUGGCCGGAUAGAUAGAACCGCCCAUCUCCUCCCUCACACCCCUGUAACCUAUCGAUUAUGUGCUCAUUGUCUAUUCCUCGAGGAAUAAGAAAAUACAUUACAGGAAUCGAUAGUUCCCACAAAUUUUAUCUGGUACACGCAGACCGAGAUUAAAAUUAUAAUGAAGUGCUAGAAAGUGAUGCCAAGAGGGAGAUUGUCAAUCUAUUAAAUUCUGAACAAUUUCAGUACAUUUAAACACAAUGAACAGCCUCGGUAGGAAAGUGAUAGAUUUCAAUACCUGAGAUGCGAUGUUGCUUGUGUUUUACUAACAUCUUGUAAAAAACGCAUUAUAGAAAGACAGCAGAAAACUUCCUAGUCAGACACGCUCCACUUUUUUUGUUAACAGAAAGAGAGAUCAGACAAAGAAGUAUACGAUUAAAUUAAAGCAAGCAAGACAACAGAUAUGAGAGAAUACACAAGGGAAAAGAAAUGAAUGUAUGCAGCGAACGAGCGGCGCAGGUGACGGAUCCAGGAGAAAGAGAGGGAAGUGGGAGUUUGGUCUCAAAAAGAUGCCACCUGGCAGGGGCCUGGCCUCGGAUGUUUUGCCUGCAGCCAAUGACAGAGUCCCACUACAGGGGCGUAGAGAACAUCCCUCUUCAAUUAAAGCCUUCAUGAGGGAGGAGGUGUACGAGAGGAUGAGGGAUCAUAGUAACUAAAGAAAGAUUUGUGCGUUGUCAGAAGGGCAGUCCAAGAAAAGCAGUAGGGUGGAACGGCCUGAAAAUAAAUCGGCAAAAAUAAAUAAAAUACUGUAUAUAGCCGGGGUCAUAAGUUUACAUAAACCUUGCAGAGUUUGCAAGAUGUUAAUAAUGAAAAUGAAAUAAAAGCUAGUUGACAUGAAUUUACAAAAAUAAAGCAAUUCUAAAGUUUACAUACAUUUGAUUCUUAAGAUGCCUGGAUAAUAUAUAAUACUAUAUCAUGUUUAUAUAUCAUAAUAAAUUAGUAUUAUGCUUAUAUGUAUAUUAUAUAUUACAUUGCAUUUAUAUCGCACCUUCUUUUUACUUAUACAUCUUAGGUAUACAUCUACUCUCACAUUCUGUACUUUUAUUAGUAUUUAUUCUUAUAUUAUUUUAGUUUAUGUUCUUUGUACCUAAAGGAGUAGUUCUCUUCAAAAUUUGCCCCCAUUCACUUUUCAUAGUUAUUUUUAUUCCUACUAUGGAAAGUCAAUGGGGGCACAUUUUGAAGUGAACUACUCCUUUAACCUUAUUAUCUUAAUUAGUUCUGUAAAUAUUGUUAUUUUCUGUAAAUACUGUGAGUUUGUACAACGUGCAGGAGGAAACGUGCAAUUUUGUUGUGCUAGCACAAAGACAAUAAAGUAUUUAUUCUAUUCUAUUCCAGCAUCUUCAUAUUUGUCCCCUUUCCAACAGUUUUUCCUACCAUAAUAUGAAAAAUUACAAUGGUAGUCAAAAGUGCCCCACAAUGGUUUUGUGGCUUUCCCACACUUUCAAAAUAUCUUCUUAUGUGUUCAACAGAACAAAGACAUUUACAAAGAUUAUUUUCCUACUAUGGUAGUCAAUGGUGGCCAAGAACUGUUUGGUUACAAGCAUUCUUCCAAAUAUCUUUCUCUGUGUUCAUCAGAACAAAGAAAUUUAUACAGAUUUGGAACAACUUAUGCGUGAGUAAAUGAUAACAAUUUUCAUUUUUGGGUCAAGUGUUUCUUUAAGAAGCAUACAUGAUACAUUAAGGUGUAUGUUGUGUGAAUGAGAAGCUCUGGUGGUCUCCAUCUUGUGAACAUUAAUGCUCACUUACUGCAGGCCACUUAAUGAGCUAUUAAAGAUCUCUUCUCCACCAUGAGAGAAACUAGAGUGUGUGUUUGUGUGCCACAAAUGUAUUCAUUCAUAAGUGCCUGGCUGUGGCCCACUGAGGCAUGCAAAAUUAAUAAGAAAAGGGAGAUAAAAGCACACUGAAGUUAUUUUUUCCUUCUUGAUGUAAAUGUGUGUGCGGUGCAUCAGCAAUGCAUGUUUGUAUAUUAUAUGUGCGCAGUCUGAGUUUGUGUCUGUGUACUUGUGUGGGACAUGGUUGGUAGUCUUCCUCGCAGUUACUGGCAGUCUAAAGUAAAAGACAGCAAAUGUAGGCCAAAGCUUCCCUGCUGGCCACUAAAUAUUUAUCACAUAUUACACAACCAAGUCCUGCAGCUCAAUAAUACACAUGAAAUGCAGACAAAUUCUGCUCUAGACUGCAUUUGAAAGAAAUAGGGUGUGUGUGAAAGAGAGAGAGGGGGAAUGUAAUUUAAAGAGUGGUUACAAUACUGCAAGAUUGGAAAAUGAGAAGAAAUGAGAGAUACAGUAUGAUGGGUGUGUAUGUGUGUGACCAGAGGGAUACUAAGCUCAUCCGUUUCUUCUGCCCAUUCCCAUGGGUGUUUAGCUAUGCAAUGACCAAAUCUAAUGCAUAACAUACUGUCACCAAUCUACACAUUUCAUACAAUACAACGGAAAGAUUAAAGGCUUAUCCAACUGAAUGUAAAUGAAAUUAAAAUACAUCAAGGCGACCUUGCAAACAUUAUGUUGUGGCACUUUGGUUGAGAAACAAUGGAUACAUUUCUCAUGCACUUUCUUGGUUCCAAUGUAACACAAUAUACUCCCAAUGACUUAAAAUGAAUUAACAACAUGAAAAAGUUGUGUAAUGAGUAAAGUGAAGAUAGAGAGUAGUGUCUCUCAUUUAAACAUUCAAUGCAAAAGGUAUACAAUGAAUCAUAGUAACCUCACAUUUACCGUUGUCUCACUAUACUGUAGUAACCUUAGAAUAACUAUGAUAACCGUAGUUAAAAUGUGGUAGUACAAAUGGUGAUUGAAAAAACUAUUCAAAUUUUUUAAACAUUUUUAAGGAAAUGUACUUAAAAACAGCGCAAAAACCUGCCACAACAACAUUUUAAGUCAAUUUACUUAAAAAAAAAAAAAACUGAAAAUGUGGCAGAUUAACACAAAAAAAUAAAUUAAUCCUACUAGUUGUUGUUUUUUCAGUGUGGUUACUUCACUUUUACCACUUUUUAUUGAAUCUAUUAAAACUUUUAAUCAAAAGCCAUAUUAAAAACCACAGACAGUUAAUGUACUGUAUAGCCCCAUUUAGAUACAAGUACAUCUCUGUUAAACCCAAAGCCCCUCCCUAUAGUAUGCAUACUACAGACAGAGAUAGAUCACUAGUGACCCCCAUCACGGCCACUGACCCUAUCACUAAGCACACACAGACAGAGAGACAGUGAGAUUGGGGUACGGAGGUGUGAAUCUUAUGUCUGAGUGUCUUUUCUGACCCCUUACCACAUCUCCAGCUGUACUUCACAGAUUGCAUCUGCUUAGGGGGCUUCCAGCACACGCCAACAAAUGGCAACUUCCCCACAUGAUUUACAAUUCCUUAUCAGACACACCUGCGCUAGGUAACCCAUUAGUUGCACCCUAUCUUUCAAGUGAAGUUAUCCCCCACACCGUCCAACAAACCAACUGAAUAAAACAGCACAGCUGGCCCGGUGAGCGGGUCGGCAUAUUAGAAUAAUUGAGAGAGAAAUGAAUUAGAAAACAAGCGUGCAGAUGCGCAGUUUAUGUCCACAUGUGUAGAUGACACACAGAGGCUGGGGUCUACCGGGAAAGCGGUGCGUGUGUGUUUAUCCUGAUUAGUGCAAAGCAGAUGUGCAAAAGUAGGGAGCACAAGGCAAGCUGUGAGGAAAGGCCCCAGAAAGCCUGUCAUUAUAUUCUGGUACAUCUCUCUUGCUCUCCACAGAGAAAUUAUGAUGCUAAUGGUCGGGAUCAACACACGUGGAUUCUUUAACCUCAGCAACGCAUGUUGUUUUGUAUCAACAUCACCAAGAGUUAUGUUAUCCACCAUAUAAGUGGGUGGUAUUAAAAAUAUUUCCAGAGAAUGAUGUUGAUGGUGGUGUAUUGCUUUGUUUGGAGAAAUCAGGUAGGGGACAUUUCUGUCAACGAUUCUGUGGAAGGGUUUCCCAACUCAUGUGGCCAAAGUACGUUUGUAAUUAUUGAUUUUGAACAAUCUGAACAUUUUACAGUAAAUGUAUUUUUUUUUUUAAUUAAUAGAAAAUUAUUUGUAUUAAUCAAUUUUAUUUUAUUUUAUUAAAAUAUAUAUUUAAUCUUUCAUAUUUUUUAUUUAUUUUAGUAUUAAUGGUUUAUAUUGUAUAUGAUGUUAUGAUAAUAUAAUAUAUUAUAUUAUAUUAUGAGGGCCAUUGUACUGAAUAUGAUUCUUGCCAGCUGUUGUUAGUUCUGAGCUGUGAACUUUGUUAAUAUUGGAAAAUUCAAUAAAUAUAUCUUUAAAAAGAAUAAAUAAGGUAGAGUCUACACCUUUAAUGAUUUCCAUAAUAAAGAGUUUGUGAAAUAAACAUUUACUAACUCUCUAUUGGGUCCAAAACUUUGAGAAUAGUAAAAAUGUUUCUGCUUUGAACAUGUUUUACAUCACAAAGUAUAUAUCAAAAUAAUAAAUAACAUGGAUUUCAUUGCAUUGGGUAUAUGUUUACUGUCUGUUUUAAUGACUACAUGCAAUUGAGCUGGCACAGAGUUAAAACCUGUUACAAAAUGUUCCAAAGAUCUUGUGUGCGUCAAAGAAGAAAUUUUACGUGUACAUUUAUCUUUCAAUCUUUCACGUGUACAAAUGACUUUCAAACCCUACUAUACUAAUAAAACUCAAUCA